UUACAGCCAUAUCAUGUUGAAGAACUGGUUCUUGUAUGAUCACCAAAGUUAAGCAUCAUUGAACCUGGUCACUACUGAGAUGGGUGACCACUUGGGAAUACCAGGUGUUGUAAG